UUGAAAGAGAAAUAUAUAAAGCAUCAGCUUGCUGGGAAGCAGGCAAUAGAUAACACAGUGACAGUAGCAUCCCAGGGGAUAGCAAAAUGUGAGAGCAACACACCGUCAGGUAUCUGCCAUCCUUCAGUGAGAUCUUCAGUGACUCCCAUCUCUACACCCGUCAGAAGAAAGCCAGGUAUCCAGCCGAGAUGAGAGCAUAAUAUGAGUUAAAAAUUGCUCGUAUAAAAGAAGUCCUGUGCUGAGAGCUGUUGUCUGUGGGAUUCUCUGGAUUUGGUAAGGCUAAGAAACAAACCAGUCUGCCUUACAGCCCACUGCUCCAUCCAAAGAGCUGCAAGAAAAGCCCCAGAGUGAGAGCGCUGUGGUCUACUCCAGAAAUCAGCGUUGUCCUUUGGCCCACUCGUUUGGAGUUUCAGGUUUGGUUUUAUCCAGUAUGUGAUUUAAUUGAAAGGUUAGUUAAGAUGUAUUCUAUCUUUUAUUUAGGCUUAUCUGGCAGCAGAUUGUCUUCCUGGCUGAGCUUGUUU
rnacentral:lncRNA from 1 species